GACGAACGCUGGCGGCGUGCCUAAUACAUGCAAGUAGGACGCAGUUGCGAACGGGUGAGUAACGCGUAGGUAACUGCCUAUUAGCGGGGGAUAACUAUUGGAAACGAUAGCUAAUACCGCAUACUAGUAGAUGGACCUGCGUUGUAUUAGCUAGUAGGUAGGGUAAUGGCCUACCUAGUCGACGAUACAUAGCCGCCCCGAGAGGGUGAUCGGCCAGACUGGGACUGAGACACGGCCCAGACUCCUACGGGAGGCAGCAGUAGGGAAUCAUCGGCAAUGGGGGGAAGCCUGACCGAGCAACGCCGCGUGAGUGAAGAAGGUUUUCGGAUCGUAAAGCUCUGUUGUUAAGGAAGCGGUACAUAACCAGAAAGGGCCGGUUAACUACGUGCAAGCAGCAGCGGUAAAC
rnacentral:rRNA from 1 species